AGGAACAUUGUUUACACUAUACUUAGGAUAUAACGUCGACCAAGAAAUCAUCGAGGUCAACGAAUUCUUCGCCGGCCAAAUGUUUUCCCGAUGACAUAAAAUCCGCUAGAUUUAACGGCACGUCAAUAUCGAAUCCGAAAGCGUCAACGUCACCGUAACUGAAAUUGUCAUCAAACGUCGUUAAUCCUUCAUAUCCGAGGACCGACGUAGGGGAGGACGUGACGGCGCUUGGUGAAUCGCAGGAUUCACAACCAUCCCUUUGACUGCCUAUGUCUUCCGUCAUAGCGGGGUUAGGAAAGUUCGUAACGGCGUUAGAGCCUUUGAGUUUCACUGCAGCUCUAUCAUACACAGUGGCAGCCUCCUCAGCGGUGUCGAAGGUACCGAGCCAAACCCGUUUCCGGCGGUUUGGAUCUCGAAUCUCGGCGGCCCAUCUGCCCCACGGUCUCUGACGGACACCUCGGAACUUCUUCCGGGAAGUGACGCCAGAUUCCGGAGAUCUCGAAGGUCUCCUUUUAGCAAUAAAAGGUGGUGGACCUGAUGGUCUGGUUUGCUUAAAGCUGAUUUCUCUGACGUGCCUCUUCA
rnacentral:misc_RNA from 1 species